rnacentral:lncRNA from 1 species
AAAAGAGUCCCUCUAAUUCAACACACAAAUUACCUUGCGCAAACCUCUCAAACAUCUUGAGAUUUUUAUUUUCUUUUUUUCGUCAACACAUCUUCAAUUUAGAUAAACAACAUUGUGAAGGCAAUCAACGACAUCUUAAGUUUGGAUAAACAACAUUGGAGCCGUAGAAUCAGCCGAUCAAGAAGCACCUUCAGUUUGGAUGAACAACACUGCUUCGAGACCAAUUGGUUAUUUAUCCAAGUAUUGGUCGACAAGGAUUUUCGAGUCCUUGUUGGUAGAGGUCAUUUCAUUAGCCUUCUCGGCGAAGUGAGGUGUUACAGGUUACUACGUUCGGCACAUUGCAAGUCGAAUUUGAUAUUAAACUUUGCAGAACUAGCAGCCUUGUCUUCAGGCUCUAGAACCCGAAGGCUGAGACGUAUUCCUUCCUCAGCCGCAGUCGCAAGAUCAAGAAGUCAACAGCGCAGUCAACGCGACAUCAACAUAUUUUACGCCCCAGGAUGUAGUUAGCUUAUUAAUUACUCGGCAUGCGCGCCACAUAGGUUUGAUAGUUUUUUAGGGUCAACACAUACAUAGCUAUCUUCAUUUGUCUAGUUGAUUAAAUUCACACAUCACAUAUAACCAAAUUUUUAGGAUUCUUUAGAUAUAAACUCUUGUAAAUCUUAUUGUCUAGACAAAAACUCACCUCAUAUUAAACAUUCAAAUAAAACCCAAAAUUCAAAUAGUCUAGCAUAUAGGCAAAUAAAUGACCUAUUAUAAUAAAAUACUUACAACUUAUGCCACAAUGCUCUAAAUAUGUCAAUAAAUAUUAUUAUUACUCACCUUUAAUUAUGCCAAUGAGCAAUGAGCUUCUGUUUUAAAACCACGUAUUCCAAAUAUAAAUAAUAUCUAUAACUACUAAUCUAUCUACAUAUAAAUUAAUUUACCUAAAUUCUUUUAAUACAAACUAAUUUAC